AUUGAACGCUGGCGGCAUGCCUUACACAUGCAAGUCGAACGGCAGCACGGGAGUAAUCCUGGUGGCGAGUGGCGAACGGGUGAGUAAUAUAUCGGAACGUGCCCAAUCGUGGGGGAUAACGCAGCGAAAGCUGUGCUAAUACCGCAUACGAUCUAAGGAUGAAAGCGGGGGAUCGCAAGACCUCGCGCGAGUGGAGCGGCCGAUAUCAGAUUAGCUAGUUGGUGUGGUAAAGGCUCACCAAGGCGACGAUCUGUAGCUGGUCUGAGAGGACGACCAGCCACACUGGAACUGAGACACGGUCCAGACUCCUACGGGAGGCAGCAGUGGGGAAUUUUGGACAAUGGGCGCAAGCCUGAUCCAGCAAUGCCGCGUGCAGGAUGAAGGCCUUCGGGUUGUAAACUGCUUUUGUACGGAGCGAAAAGGUUCUCUCUAAUAAAGAGGGCUCAUGACGGUACCGUAAGAAUAAGCACCGGCUAACUACGUGCCAGCCGCCGCCGUAAAAC
rnacentral:rRNA from 1 species